UCAAGCAGAUAUUUGGUGUUCGGGAAGA
rnacentral:piRNA from 1 species